rnacentral:rRNA from 1 species
UCCUACGGGAGGCAGCAGUGGGGAAUAUUGCACAAUGGGCGCAAGCCUGAUGCAGCAACGCCGCGUGAGGGACGAAGGCCUUCGGGUUGUAAACCUCUUUUAGUAGGGAAGAAGUGACUGGGUUUUCCUGGGAGUGACGGUACCUGCAGAAAAAGCACCGGCUAACUACGUGCCAGCAGCCGCGGUAAUACGUAGGGUGCAAGCGUUGUCCGGAAUUAUUGGGCGUAAAGAGCUCGUAGGCGGUUUGUCGCGUCUGCUGUGAAAACCCGAGGCUCAACCUCGGGCCUGCAGUGGGUACGGGCAGACUAGAGUGCGGUAGGGGAGAUUGGAAUUCCUGGUGUAGCGGUGGAAUGCGCAGAUAUCAGGAGGAACACCAAUGGCGAAGGCAGAUCUCUGGGCCGUAACUGACGCUGAGGAGCGAAAGCAUGGGGAGCGAACAGGAUUAGAUACCCUGGUAGUCCAUGCCGUAAACGUUGGGAACUAGAUGUGGGGACCAUUCCACGGUCUCCGUGUCGCAGCUAACGCAUUAAGUUCCCCGCCUGGGGAGUACGGCCGCAAGGCUAAAACUCAAAGGAAUUGACGGGGGCCCGCACAAGCGGCGGAGCAUGCGGAUUAAUUCGAUGCAACGCGAAGAACCUUACCAAGGCUUGACAUAUACCGGAAACGGCUAGAAAUAGUCGCCCCGCAAGGUCGGUAUACAGGUGGUGCAUGGUUGUCGUCAGCUCGUGUCGUGAGAUGUUGGGUUAAGUCCCGCAACGAGCGCAACCCUCGUCCUAUGUUGCCAGCACGUAAUGGUGGGAACUCAUGGGAUACUGCCGGGGUCAACUCGGAGGAAGGUGGGGAUGACGUCAAAUCAUCAUGCCCCUUAUGUCUUGGGCUUCACGCAUGCUACAAUGGCCGGUACAAAGGGCUGCGAUACCGCAAGGUGGAGCGAAUCCCAAAAAGCCGGUCUCAGUUCGGAUCGAGGUCUGCAACUCGACCUCAUGAAGUCGGAGUCGCUAGUAAUCGCAGAUCAGCAACGCUGCGGUGAAUACGUUCCCGGGCCUUGUACACACCGCCAU